GUGUAGCCCUGGCUGGCCUCAGACUCAGAAAUCCACCUGCCUCUGCCUCCCAAGUGCUGGCUGGGAUUAAAGGCGUGCGCCACCACCACCUGGCUCAGAAUAGCUUUUUAAUCUUGAUCUUACUGUAGUUUUCUUCUUGUAGUGGCCACAUGUUUGGUCAUGCCAAAGGCUGGCUGGGCUGUCGCAGGCCUCUUGUUAGAUCCUCUUUCCGCUUUGCUGUGAAGUGUCUUUCCUGUGUUUAAUGCUUUUAAAGUUGAUGCAUUUUGAUUUGUGUGUAUGGGUGUGGCGAGUGUGGACGCCCGAGGAUGUCAGAUGAGCACAUGAGGUCUCCUGAGGGGCAGUUACAGAUGGUCGUGAGCAGCCUCACAGAGAUGCUGAGAACCGAACCCAGGUCCUCUGGAAGACCAGCAAGUGCUCCCUACCCGCUGAGCCAGCUCUCCAGCUCCUAACAUCGGAUUGAGUUCUGCCUGGUCUGAUACUAACGCUGCCUUGUCAGGAAGAGCUCUCAGGAAACAAGCAACUCCUCACUGUAACAGGCUUCAGCCAGUCUACCCUGCCGUCCCAGGUUCCAGAAAUGGAAACUAGUCAGCAUCCUCUUCAUGCUACCCGAUGCCACGCUGAAGCCUCCGUGUCCUCUUCACACUACCCGAUGCCACACGGAAGCCUCCAUGUCCUCUUCACGCUACUCAAUGCCAUGCUGAAGCCUCCACUCUCUUCAUACUACCCGAUGCCACGUUGAAGCCUCUGCAUCCUCUUCAUGCUACCCGAUGCCACGCUAAAGCCUCUGCAUCCUCUUCACGCUACCCGAUGCCACGCUGAAGCCUCCACAUCCUCUUCAUGCUACCCGAUGCCACGCUGGAGCCUCUGUGUCCUCUUCACGCUACCCGAUGCCACGCUGAAGCCUCCGCAUCCUCUUCACACUACCCGAUGCCACACUGGAGCCUCCACUCUCUUCACGCUACCUGAUGCCACGCUGAAGCCUCCAUGCCCACACAAAACCCACGUCACAUAUAAAAACCUCACAGACAGGGAAAGGAUUGUUUUAGUUUUCAUAUUUUAGCCACUUCAAAUAUUUCUCCUGUUUUGAGCCAUAUAUCAAAACAGUCAGCCAUCUUGAUAGAUCCCACACUUGACUAGUUGUGCAUUUUUCUUAUUUAAAUAGUUUGUGUGUGUGUGCAUGUAUAAAAGCCAGAAGAGGGCAUCAUAUGCCCUGGACUGGAGUCGCAGGCCAUUGUGACCUGCCUGACACAGGUGCUGGGAACCAUCGAGGCGCUGAGCAUCAAUCCAGCCCUAUGGCUUUGUUUCUUGUUACCUGUUUAUACUGUUUAUUUAUGUUAUUUGGAACAUAAAGCUCUAUGACUGCCCGUCUACAGUCUUUAGCCAUGGUCCCGGUGGCUACCCUCUUUGUCUUUCUCAAUGCCUUUUUCUGUUUGCUCUACCUGGAGUCCAAUUUUGACGAAGAUUAAUGAAACCUGGUUUCUCUGCUUGUCCCUGGGUGUUUUCUCUUCGUUUAUCCUUAUAUUCUUAACUGUUCUGAGUCAUUUUGUUUCAGAUGUGUCUGUCAGACAGCCCGUGGGUGGUUUGAAGUUUUGACCUAUUA